rnacentral:rRNA from 1 species
GCUACGGGAGGCUGCAGUGAGGAAUAUUGGUCAAUGGGCGGAAGCCUGAACCAGCCAAGUAGCGUGCAGGAUGACGGCCCUACGGGUUGUAAACUGCUUUUAUACGGGAAUAACGCGCCUUACGUGUAGGGCUUUGCAUGUACCGUAUGAAUAAGGACCGGCUAAUUCCGUGCCAGCAGCCGCGUUAAUACGGAAGGUCCGGGCGUUAUCCGGAUUUAUUGGGUUUAAAGGGAGCGUAGGCCGCAUGACAAGCGUGCUGUUAAAUGUCCGGGAUAAACCCGGGCCUUGCAGCGCGUACUGGAGUGCGUGAGUCCGCGGAAAGAAGGAGGAAUUCGUCGUGUAGCGGUGAAAUGCUUAGAUACGACGAAGAACCCCGAUUGCGAAGGCAGCUUGCUGCAGCGGAACUGACGCUGAUGCUCGAAAGUGAGAGUAUCGAACAGGACGAGAUACCCCAGUAGUC